UACGGAGGAUGCAAGCAUUAUCCGGAAUGAUUGGGCGUAAAGCGUCCGCAGGUGGCUGUGUAAGUCUGCUGUUAAAGAGUGAGGCUCAACCUCAUAAAAGCAGUGGAAACUACACGGCUAGAGUGCGUUCGGGGCAGAGGGAAUUCCUGGUGUAGCGGUGAAAUGCGUAGAUAUCAGGAAGAACACCGGUGGCGAAAGCGCUCUGCUAGGCCGCAACUGACACUGAGGGACGAAAGCUAGGGGAGCGAAUGGG
rnacentral:rRNA from 1 species